UGACGCAUAAAACGCAUUACAUAACAAGGGCCGGGCAAGACCGGUCCCAGCCGCCGGUGUAACACGGGCGGCUAGAGUUGUAACCUAUAUUAUUGUGUAUAAAGUGUCUGUAGCCGGCCGGAUAAGUCUUUUGGGAUAUCCAACAGCUAAAGUGUUGGGCUUCCAGGAGAUACUCUUCGUCUAGACCCCGGGAGAGGUGAGAGGUAUUUCAGGGGUAGGGGAGAUAUCUUGUUAUCCGAGAAGGCCCCACAGUGGAGAAGGUGUCUCACCAGAACGUUCGUGACCACAAGGGAAGAAAGAUAGGCGCAAGAACCGGAUUAUAUACCCGGGUUGUUAUAGCUGUAAAAGAUACUCUAUAGGUGUCACGCAUGGCGACCGUGUUUGGUGCCGCAGGGAAGCCGUGAAGCGAGCCACCUGGGAAGUACGGCCGCAAGGCUGAAACUUAAAGGAAUUGGCGGGGGA
rnacentral:rRNA from 1 species